GAUGAACGCUGGCGGCGUGCUUAACACAUGCAAGUCGAACGAUGAAGCCCAGCUUGCUGGGUGGAUUAGUGGCGAACGGGUGAGUAACACGUGAGUAACCUGCCCUUAACUCUGGGAUAAGCCUGGGAAACUGGGUCUAAUACCGGAUAGGAGCGUCCACCGCAUGGUGGGUGUUGGAAAGAUUUAUCGGUUUUGGAUGGACUCGCGGCCUAUCAGCUUGUUGGUGAGGUAAUGGCUCACCAAGGCGACGACGGGUGGCCGGCCUGAGAGGGUGACCGGCCACACUGGGACUGAGACACGGCCCAGACUCCUACGGGAGGCAGCAGUGGGGAAUAUUGCACAAUGGGCGCAAGCCUGAUGCAGCGACGCCGCGUGAGGGAUGACGGCCUUCGGGUUGUAAACCUCUUUCAGUAGGGAAGAAGCGAAAGUGACGGUACCUGCAGAAGAAGCACCGGCUAACUACGUG
rnacentral:rRNA from 1 species